rnacentral:rRNA from 1 species
UACGAAGGGGGCUAGCGUUGCUCGGAAUCACUGGGCGUAAAGGGUGCGUAGGCGGGUUUUUAAGUCAGAGGUGAAAUCCUGGAGCUCAACUCCAGAACUGCCUUUGAUACUGAGAAUCUUGAGUUCGGGAGAGGUGAGUGGAACUGCGAGUGUAGAGGUGAAAUUCGUAGAUAUUCGCAAGAACACCAGUGGCGAAGGCGGCUCACUGGCCCAUUACUGACGCUGAGGCACGAAAGCGUGGGGAG